rnacentral:lncRNA from 1 species
GGAGUCUUGGGACCCCGACCUUCGGGGGCUGAUUUUUGGGCGCGGCUGUGCCAGUGGCCUAUUUUUGGCACACGGAGGCCGCCCGCCAAGUCUGGGGCCAUUCCGAGUCCCGCGGACGAACUUCGCCCACGCCGCCCACCAAGGCUAUAGCCCACCCGUUUUUUGGCCAUUUUUCCGCUGGGGGGUCUUGGGACCCCGACCUUCGGGGGCUGAUUUUUGGGCGCGGCUGUGCCCGUGGCCUAUUUUUGGCACACGGAGGCCGCCCGCCAAGUCUGGGGCCAUUCCGAGUCCCGCGGACGAACGUCGCCCACGCCGCCCACCAAGGCUAUAGCCCACCCGUUUUUUGGCCAUUUUUCCGCUGGGGGAUCUUGGGACCCCGACCUUCGGGGGCUGAUUUUUGGGCGCGGCAGUGCCCGUGGCCUAUUUUUGGCACACGGAGGCCGCCCGCCACGUCUGGGGCCAUUCCGAGUCCCGUGGACGAACGUCGCCCACGCCUCCCACCAAGGCUAUAGCCCACCCUUUUUUUGGCCAUUUUUCCGCUGGGGGGUCUUGGGACCCCGACCUUCGGGGGCUGAUUUUUGGGCGCGGCUGUGCCCGUGGCCUAUUUUUGCACACGGAAGCCGCCCGCCAAGUAGGGUGCCAUUCCGAGUCCCGCGGACGAACUUCGCCCACGCCCCCCGCCAAGGCUAUAGCCCACUCGUUUUUUGGUCAUUUUUCCGCUGGGGGGUCUUGGGAACCCGACCUUCGGGGACUGAUUUUUGGACGCGGCUGUGCCCGUGGCCUAUUUUUGGCACACGGAGGCCGCCCGCCAAGUCUAGGGCCAUUCCGAGUCCCACGGACGAACUUCGCCCAUGCCCCCCACCAAGGCUAUAGCCCACCCGUUUUUUGGCCAUUUUUCCGCUGGGGGGUCUUGGGACCCCGACCUUCGGGGGCUGAUUUUUGGGAGCGGCUGUGCCCGUGGCCUAUUUUUGGCACACGGAGGCCGCCCGCCAAGUCUGGUGCCAUUCCGAGUCCCGCGGACGAACUUCGCCCACGCCGCCCACCAAGGCUAUAGCCCACCCGUUUUUUGGCCAUUUUUCCGCUGGGGGAUCUUGGGACCCCGACCUUCGGGGGCUGAUUUUUGGGCGCGGCUGUGCCCGUGGCCUAUUUUUGGCACACGGAGGCCGCCCAACAAGUCUGGGGCCAUUCCGAGUCCCGUGGACGAACGUCGCCCACGCCCCCCACCAAGGCUAUAGCCCACCCUUUUUUUGGCCAUUUUUCCGCUGGGGGGUCUUGGGACCCCGACCUUCGGGGGCUGAUUUUUGGGCGCGGCUGUGCCCGUGCGCAAUUUUUGGCACACGGAGGCCGCCCGCCAAGUCUGGUGCCAUUCCGAGUCCCGCGGACGAACUUCGCCCACGCCCCCCACCUAGGCUAUAGCCCACCCUUUUUUUGGCCAUUUUUCCGCUGGGGGGU